rnacentral:lncRNA from 12 species
UGAUGGCUACAGAGAAUAUUGACAAGGAACAGUCAAAACUGCCCUACUUCAGCACCGAGGGAAGUUAUUCUUCUUGUGAGGGACUUGUCUACACUGAACUGAAGGCAUUUCUAACCUCUGGAGUUUCAAAUUUUUAAAACUGACUUGUGACAAUAUUUUUGCUCAAGGAAUUCUAAAAAGAGGCAUAAUAUUUUCAAAAUGUUGUCCUGAUGGUUCUUCCUUACAUUAAUUGAAAAACUUGAUGACUCUAGGAGGCUGCCUAGUU